ensembl:lncRNA
AGGAGGAACAGCUGCUGUCUGUUGAGGGAAUGAGAGGGGCACAGGUGCUCCCUAUAGAGACUCAUUUGGUCCCACAGGCCAUAUUAGUAGGCUGGUCUCUCCACUUGUGUUUGCAGAGCUGUAACUGGAAGCACUGGAGGUCUGGAACGAAGAAGGUGAAGAGAGGUGGGCUUGGUGCGCUGGGCUUCUCCCCAUUAAGAAGAAUUGCAGGGAAGAAACAAAGACAUUCGAACCAUUUGCACAACACAGAAGCUCUCCAGCAUGAGUCCUUAAAGGGCUGGAGGCUUGCUGGGGAAGCUUUGAGGAGGAGAGUCAUAAAGAACAGAAGGUUUUACGACGCAAGGUUGAAUGGGAAACUUUUAUUGGAGGGGCUUGGCCAGCUCCCGUCCCAUGGGGGAAAGGCGGAGGAAUCUGAAUGUACUGUUUUCUCUUCUGGAAGGUCAAAGCUGUUGAACACAAUGGCAAAGCAGCAUAGGAGAAACACCCUUUGUCCUCUGUCAUCGCUGUCAAAAACAGAGGAGGGGAAGAAGUCCCGCACACCACAUUUCAGCAAAGCCCUGAAGACAGUGUUCUGCACAGAGUCCCAGCCUCCAAUUGGCAGUCCCAGCUCUUUGGCAGAUGAUUUUAUCCAGGGUCAGACCCACAGCUCUUGAAAACUCACAACCUGAGGGAGUUCUGGAACUCCUCACCUCAUGGGUACACCACAGCGCUGAUCCAAGAGCCAGGGGCAGCAUUCCUUGGCCAAGAGGUUUGUGCUGGAUGGGAGCUGAGACCCUGAGUCUGAGGCUGCCCAGGAUCAGUGUGCUCAGAAUACCAACGGGCAUCAAUCAGGCAGUCUGGGAGAGCAUACAGAAACGUAUCAAUUUGUUCCCGAGUAUUUUCAGGCACAAACAACUGCAAGAAUUUACCACGGCUAUAUAAAAAUAUAGUCUGGGACCCAGGCAGGUCUGUAAAAGUUGUGUGAAGCUGGAGGACGCAUUUCCUUGUGGGAGAUGUGCUGAAUUUUGAUGCUGAGAGGUGCUGUCAUAUACCCCUUGUAACAGUACCAUGCUAUUGCUUAUCCUUAAUAGAGGAAGAUAGGCAGAAGGAAUAGAAUCAGUGCAUCAGUGCUGUGCAAUAAAAUAAUAGCUGUUUUACCAUUUCCUUGCACAGGUAAUUUUGGUUACUGUAAUCUAGUGCAAACAGAGCACAGUGUGUGCACAGCAUCAGCAGACCGCACCACCCGUGGCCGAGCAGGAACAAAAGCAUUCCCGUUCUCCUUUGCCCAAUUAUUUCCCGAUUUGAUCAAUCAGCAGUUAACAAAGGUCCGAG